AGUGAUAUCUAUUACAUUGUGACAGAAUUUGGUUUCUCAAUAAUUCUCAUCCUGAGUGCCAAACUGAUCAACUGCAUCCUAAUGGAACGUUCAAGAUGUGAUUCAGUAACUGAUACGGUUGUUGCAAUAAUUAUUUUUGACCAAAUUGAAUCCACAAAAUAAUUGAAGAAAUGGUUUCAGAUGAUUACGAACAAGCGCAGCUAUCUUUGGAGAGGUAAUGCACCUACUGAUAUCCCGUGAUAAGAACUUGGGAGAGAUUUAGUGAAAACCUGGAGAACGGCCACUUAGCUCACAAAUCUGAGCUGUUCACAUCAAGCUGAUAUUUGUGACAGCCAUUAUAGCUUUAAUCAUUUUCUCGAUUGAUCAAAGCACCACAGACUGCAUCGUUCGUCACCUCUGCCUUUAAGCGCGUUAUCACCUACUCCAAUAAGCCACCCCAAUAUCCUUAAUAAGCAAUAGAAGUUCUUAUCGACUGUGUAUGACUCAUUAAUAUCCAUGUUCUGUAUAAAUUUAUGUGAUAGGCCUACUGGUAUUAAUGUUGAUGUACCGUAAUGUUUUUUGCUCAUGUAUAAUUGAUAAUAAUACAUUAAAAAUAAAUAUAAUGUUAAAUUAUUA